GAUGAACGCUGGCGUCGUGCCUAAUACAUGCAAGUCGAGCGAACGGACGAGAAGCUUGCUUCUCUGAUGUUAGCGGCGGACGGGUGAGUAACACGUGGAUAACCUACCUAUAAGACUGGGAUAACUUCGGGAAACCGGAGCUAAUACCGGAUAAUAUUUUGAACCGCAUGGUUCAAAAGUGAAAGACGGUCUUGCUGUCACUUAUAGAUGGAUCCGCGCUGCAUUAGCUAGUUGGUAAGGUAACGGCUUACCAAGGCAACGAUGCAUAGCCGACCUGAGAGGGUGAUCGGGCACACUGGAACUGAGACACGGUCCAGACUCCUACGGGAGGCAGCAGUAGGGAAUCUUCCGCAAUGGGCGAAAGCCUGACGGAGCAACGCCGCGUGAGUGAUGAAGGUCUUCGGAUCGUAAAACUCUGUUAUUAGGGAAGAACAUAUGUGUAAGUAACUGUGCACAUCUUGACGGUACCUAAUCAGAAAGCCACGGCUAACUACGUG
rnacentral:rRNA from 1 species